UACUUAGUGGCAGACGGGUGAGUAACAUGUGGGUAUCUACCCUUUGGCCUGGAAUAACACGAGGAAACUUGUGCUAAUACCGGAUAAGUCUUUACGGAGAAAGCUUUAUGCACCAUUGGAUGAGCCCGCACUUGAUUAGUUUGUUGGUAGGGUAAUGGCCUACCAAGACUAUGAUCAAUAGCUGAUUUGAGAGGAUGAUCAGCCACAUUGGGACUGAGACACGGCCCAAACUCCUACGGGAGGCAGCAGUGGGGAAUCUUGCACAAUGGAGGAAACUCUGAUGCAGCGAUGCCGCGUGAGUGAAGAAGGCCUUUGGGUUGUAAAGCUCUUUCGUCGGGGAAGAAAAUGACUGUACCCGAAUAAGAAGGUCCGGCUAACUUCGUGCCAGCAGCCGCGGUAAUACGAAGGGACCUAGCGUAGUUCGGAAUUACUGGGCUUAAAGAGUUCGUAGGUGGUUGAAAAAGUUGGUGGUGAAAUCCCAGAGCUUAACUCUGGAACUGCCAUCAAAACUUUUCAGCUAGAGUAUGAUAGAGGAAAGCAGAAUUUCUAGUGUAGAGGUGAAAUUCGUAGAUAUUA
rnacentral:rRNA from 1 species